UAAUUUUAAAAGAGUACUGCACACCAAUACAUAUGAUAUAUAAACAAGAUUAAUAACUGCCGAGGCACUGUGAUAUAUCUUGUUAUGUUAGUGGCCUAGGCACU